UGGGGAAUAUUGCACAAUGGGCGCAAGCCUGAUGCAGCCAUGCCGCGUGUAUGAAGAAGGCCUUCGGGUUGUAAAGUACUUUCAGUCGGGAGGAAGGUGGUAAGGUUAAUAACCUUAUCAAUUGACGUUACCGACAGAAGAAGCACCGGCUAACUCCGUGCCAGCAGCCGCGGUAAUACGGAGGGUGCAAGCGUUAAUCGGAAUUACUGGGCGUAAAGCGCACGCAGGCGGUUGAUUGAGUCAGAUGUGAAAUCCCCGGGCUUAACCCGGGAAUUGCAUCUGAUACUGGUCAGCUAGAGUCUUGUAGAGGGGGGUAGAAUUCCAUGUGUAGCGAUGAAAUGCGUAGAGAUCUGGAGGAAUACCGGUGGCGAAGGCGGCCCCCUGGACAAAGACUGACGCUCAGGUGCGAAAGCGUGGGGAGCAAACAGG
rnacentral:rRNA from 1 species